rnacentral:rRNA from 1 species
GACGAACGCUGGCGGCGUGCUUAACACAUGCAAGUCGAACGGAAAGGCCCUGCUUUUGUGGGGUGCUCGAGUGGCGAACGGGUGAGUAACACGUGAGUAACCUGCCCUUGACUUUGGGAUAACUUCAGGAAACUGGGGCUAAUACCGGAUAGGAGCUCCUGCUGCAUGGUGGGGGUUGGAAAGUUUCGGCGGUUGGGGAUGGACUCGCGGCUUAUCAGCUUGUUGGUGGGGUAGUGGCUUACCAAGGCUUUGACGGGUAGCCGGCCUGAGAGGGGGACCGGCCACAUUGGGACUGAGAUACGGCGCAGACGCCUACGGGAGGCAGCAGGGGGGAAUAUUGCACAAUGGGCGGAAGCCUGAGGCAGCAACGCCGCGUGCGGGAUGACGGCCUUCGGGUUGUAAACCGCUUUCGCCUGUGACGAAGCGUGAGUGACAGUAAUGGGUAAAGAAGCACCGGCUAACUACGUG